GCAGGGGGGGGGGUGUGGAGGAGGCCAGCUGUGGUCCAGCUUGUUAUUGUUAUACAGUGGGCAUUCUGCUGAGGACGUCCAUGGCUACGCUAUAUCUUCUCCCAGAGUUUGUGUUUUUAUGCCCAGAUGUAUGAUCCACUGGCGUUUGCUUUCAGCACAGGGUGAGAGAGAUGGGCAGAGUCGAUCUUGCGCACGUGGACCACCAGUUUUCCCAGCGCCCUUUUUCCAUGGCCUGUGUUUUCUCCAGCCUAGGUUAUUGGCUCCUUUGCCCAAGAUCCAGUGGCUGAAGGUUUUUGGGGUUGUUUCUGCACCCUCUAUUCUGUUCCCUGUGUCCAGCUGUCUGUGUGCGUGCAUUGGUACCAUUCUGUCUCUCGUGGUCUGCCCAGGGACGGAAGUGAGGAAGUCUUCCCGUUCCUUAGGAGACAGUCUGAGUCUCCCGAGGAUGUUCCCCCCGGGUGUCCUGUUGUCUCACUGAGAGAGCCAUUCAUUCACUUCCAUUGGCUCCGGGGUUUGUACUGGGUCUUGAGGUGAGUUCAGGUCAUGACUGUUGUAUGUGUGCGUGUGUGUGUUUGUGUUUGCAGGACCUGAAGACCACCUGGAACCAAGAGGAAGUGGCGUGGGAGGCCGUUUCCGCCUGGUGAGUGUGAGGGUCACGGGCUGUGGAGGCAGAGGUGGCCUGUGAGAUCUCAGGUGCAGGGAAAAGCGGGAAGUGGUCAGUUUCCCUACUUGAUCUAUUCUGCCAAGCUGGAAGUGAACUCUUUUCAGAGUUUGUUUUUGUCUUGGAUCGCACCUCCCCUUACUUUGCAGGAUUGGUCACCUGGAGUCCCUGUCGCCCACAGGUGAACUACACUGGGGUUUCCCUGCACUCAGGGCAGGGCAGCUCAACACUCUCCUGUGGGAGGCCGUUGAGCGAGGAGACACUCCCCCUCUUUGUGCAGUUUGGCCUUAGUUUGGUGGUGGGGAUUCCACAGCACACAUUGGCCCCAAAGCAAAAAGCAAAUCCUGCGCAAGUGCAGUAUGGAAAGGACAGGCUCCGCAGACCCGGGAUCACUGGGCUUCAGCAGUUCCUCAGGUCCCUUUGUUCCCAGGUGCCCUGCAAGUAACAUGGAGCCCAGUGCUCUGAUGUUGGAGCACCUGGAUGCUUCUCAGUGUAUGUGCCACACACCUGCUCACACUGAGCUGUGUGUACCCCUCCAGGCCCUUUAUGGAAAUCUUUUGCGUAGGGACCCUGGGAAUUUGCUGCUGUGUGCAGGCUGCUGGGCCUUUCCUGGGAUCCUCCUGCCACGGAACUCUUGACUGCUCCAGAAUGCCCCCUGUGUGUCCUGUGGCCUCUCUUUAGGGGUCCAGGGUGGACCAGGGGAUAGCUGUGAAGGCCAGUCCUUCCUGGUUACCAUGCUGUUCUCCUUACAGGUACCUGGAGGGCGGAGACAGUGCCACCAAUUACCUGGCACACAGUGUAGAUGAAAGUUAUUUGACCUUUUCCACAUGGCGCAACUUCUCAGCGUUCCCCGAGCCUGCCUGGAGUCCGGGCUUCCGAGUGUGUGUCUGCAGCAUAGGAGAAUGACAUCACCCUUGGGGAUUUGGAGCAUGUCCAUACCCCAUCUGGAUCCUUUGUACUCUCCCGGACCCACCACCACGCCCUCCCGUCCUGGUCCUUGGGCCUCCCUUGCCGCUUCGGACUCUACCUCCCUAUUUCCAGCCGUCUGUCUUUUCUUUGGCUGUCAAAACUAUUUUUCCUUUGGGUGUCUCCUGUUGGAGAACCCCCUGUCAUAUUUAUACCUCCGCAGUUCAUUGUUUUACUUAUAAUUAUGACCUCAGUAGCCAUCCACCUUGCCAUCAGUGUCUGCAGUUUAUCUCUCCUCAUGGUUCAGCAGUAUUCCUUGUGUACGUUUACCACCUUUUCAUCGUCCGUUUCGUCUUCGAUGGGCAUAGGGACCACUUCCAUAUUUUACCUAUCUGUAAGGCUUGUGCUAGCACAAGUGUCUCAGUUUACUUUCUGUUUGCUUGAGCAAAAUCUCUGACACAGAUGAAAGGAGGAAAGGUUUAUUUUGACUGACAGUUUGU
ensembl:lncRNA